UACGUAGGGACCAAGCGUUGUUCGGAUUUACUGGGCGUAAAGGGCGCGUAGGCGGCGUGACAAGUCACUUGUGAAAUCUCCGGGCUUAACUCGGAACGGCCAAGUGAUACUGUCGUGCUAGAGUGCAGAAGGGGCAAUCGGAAUUCUUGGUGUAGCGGUGAAAUGCGUAGAUAUCAAGAGGAACACCUGAGGUGAAGACGGGUUGCUGGGCUGACACUGACGCUGAAGCGCGAAAGCGUGGGGAGCGAACAGG
rnacentral:rRNA from 1 species